UACGAAGGGGGCUAGCGUUGCUCGGAAUCACUGGGCGUAAAGGGUGCGUAGGCGGGUCCUUAAGUCAGGGGUGAAAUCCUGGAGCUCAACUCCAGAACUGCCUUUGAUACUGAGGAUCUUGAGUUCGGGAGAGGUGAGUAGAACUGCGAGUGUAGAGGUGAAAUUCGUAGAUAUUCGCAAGAACACCAGUGGCGAAGGCGGCUCACUGGCCCGAUACUGACGCUGAGGCACGAAAGCGUGGGGAGCAAACAGG
rnacentral:rRNA from 1 species